UGUACGUAUAAAAUAGUAAAAUCUGGCGCAUUUCCAGAUUAAAUGUCACAGAACUCUUCCCGCGCUCUCCGUCAGAAUUCAAACAUUAACGGUCGAACUUGGCGGCUGUUCGCUUUCUUAUGUGUGAUUAUUUUCAUAUAACGUUUAAUUGGGCACUUCCAUUUUAACAAAUAAAGUGAAAGUACCACAAAACAUGAAACGAAGAUGUUUUGGACGAGGAGAGCUCGUCCAAAUUUGUGGCCUUCUCAUUUCUGUCUUGUUGAAGAAGUAGUCUUGAUCAGGAUUUUAGGUGAUGGAGAGCUGUUCUGCUGAAACCCGUUCAUCCCUUUGGAACCUGUGAAGAAAAACAAUAAUUCAGUUAAACAGUAGAAGAAACGGCAUAUUGAGAGACAGGUUUGAAUUUCUACAUGAUCGAGUGCUUGGAAAUGGCUGUUUCAUAAAGGAAUGGACCAGCGGCAAAUAUUUUUGAGAGGCCUUUUGACCAAGAUAUGUAAAAAAUUCAAGAGCAUCUCAACAUAUCCCAGUGGUAAUAAUGCUUUUUUUUUAAUCUCUAGAGGAAAAAGACACUACAUUACAAGCUGCACAAUGCCAUGGGCAAUGUCAUAUAGAAGUGUGUGUUUAAUGUGGCC